rnacentral:rRNA from 1 species
AGAGUUUGAUCCUGGCUCAGGAUGAACGCUGGCGGCGUGCUUAACACAUGCAAGUCGAGCGAAGCAGUUAAGUUGAUUUCUUCGGAUUGAUUCUUAAUUGACUGAACGGCGGACGGGUGAGUAACGCGUGGGUGACCUGCCCCAUACCGGGGGAUAACAGCUGGAAACGGCUGCUAAUACCGCAUAAGCGCACAGAGCUGCAUGGCUCAGUGUGAAAAACUCCGGUGGUAUGGGAUGGGCCCGCGUCUGAUUAGGCAGUUGGCGGGGUAACGGCCCACCAAACCGACGAUCAGUAGCCGGCCUGAGAGGGCGACCGGCCACAUUGGGGCUGAGACACGGCCCAAACUCCUACGGGAGGCAGCAGUGGGGAAUAUUGCACAAUGGGGGAAACCCUGAUGCAGCGACGCCGCGUGAGCGAAGAAGUAUUUCGGUAUGUAAAGCUCUAUCAGCAGGGAAGAUAAUGACGGUACCUGACUAAGAAGCCCCGGCUAACUACGUGCCAGCAGCCGCGGUAAUACGUAGGGGGCAAGCGUUAUCCGGAUUUACUGGGUGUAAAGGGAGCGUAGACGGCAAGGCAAGUCUGAUGUGAAAACCCAGGGCUUAACCCUGGGACUGCAUUGGAAACUGUCUGGCUCGAGUGCCGGAGAGGUAAGCGGAAUUCCUAGUGUAGCGGUGAAAUGCGUAGGUAUUAGGAAGAACACCAGUGGCGAAGGCGGCUUACUGGACGGUAACUGACGUUGAGGCUCGAAAGCGUGGGGAGCAAACAGGAUUAGAUACCCUGGUAGUCCACGCCGUAAACGAUGA